rfam:Sphingobacterium sp. 21, complete genome.
GAUGCAAGCCGUUCUAUCGCCGCACUUUGUGAGGAGGAAAGUCCGGGCAAUAUAGAGCAUCUCGCUUCCUAACGGGAAGGUCCCGGUUAAACCCGGGAACGGAAAGUGCCACAGAAAAUAAACCGUCUCGAUUGCUAUCGAGAUAAGGGUGAAAACGUGAGGUAAGAGCUCACGGCCUUGUAUGGCGACAUACAUUGCGGUAAACCCCGGGAAUUGAAAGACCAAAUAGGUUCUGAACGUAGGGUUGCUCGCUCUCUUCGCCUUUUAGGCGGAUUCAGAAUGGGUAGGUCGUUAGACCUUACAAGUGAUUGUAAGGCUAGAUAAAUGAUAGAAGCUCAACUUCGGUUGAGGACAGAACCCGGCUUAUAGGCUUGCUUUUUUU